rnacentral:tRNA from 1 species
GGUUCCAUAGUAUAGCGGUCAGCACAUCUGCUUUACACUCAGAAGGUCCUGGGUUCGCGCCCCAGUGGAGCCA